rnacentral:rRNA from 1 species
CCUACGGGGGGCAGCAGUCGGGAAUAUUGCGCAAUGGAGGAAACUCUGACGCAGUGACGCCGCGUGCAGGAAGAAGGUUUUCGGAUUGUAAACUGCUUUAGACAGGGAAGAAAACAGACAGUACCCGAAGAAAACGCAUCGGCUAACUCCGUGCCAGCAGCCGCGGUAAUACGGAGGAUGCGAGCGUUAUCCGGAUUUAUUGGGUUUAAAGGGUGCGCAGGCGGAAGAUCAAGUCAGCGGUAAAAUUGAGAGGCUCAACCUCUUCGAGCCGUUGAAACUGGUUUUCUUGAGUGAGCGAGAAGUAUGCGGAAUGCGUGGUGUAGCGGUGAAAUGCGUAGAUAUCAGGAGGAACAUCGGUGGCGUAAGCGCUUUACUGGGCCGUAAUUGACACUGAGGAACGAAAGCCGGGGUAGCAAAUGGGAUUAGAUACCCCGGUAGUC